UAUGUCACAAAAAAUAGCUUUCAAAAACUAAAAUGACCAAAAUAACAUUUUAUCUUUUGAAAUCUUAUCCCAAAAAUCCACUCCCCAACCCUAAAACCUAAACUCUAAACCCUAAAUCCUAAGCCCUAAACCCCACCACUUAACUCUAAAACCUAAACUCCAUCCCUAAACUCUAAACCCUAAACCCUAAACUCUAAACACUAAACCCUAAAUCCUAAACUCCACCCGUUAACUCUAAACCCUAAUGUCUAAAUUAAUUUACCAUUGGAGUAUAAGUGUAUAUUUAUCUCUUUUGAUAAAACAUUAAAUGC
rnacentral:lncRNA from 1 species